rnacentral:lncRNA from 1 species
AUGAUGAAAUACGCUCCGAUGUGAUCACUAUAAAAGUUCAUGUUUUUUUUGUAGCUCACAUCACAAUAUAUUUCAUCAUAAAACUUUACAGACAUGUAGUACACAUCCCUAAGUAUCUCUAUUAUUAAAGGAAAAUCAACCAUCGUUGUUGUCGUCGUGAUGGUUCAACCUAUCAAUCAAAUCCAUGACGUUCCCUACGCAUGCCCAACCGAGAAAAUCAGCCCGAGAAAACAUGACAACCAACGAUCGCACAAAUCAGCCCAAUAAAACAUGCCAGCUCAUCCCACAACCACCGGCCCAAAAAUUCAAAUCGAGUCAAACCCACGAUCAAGGUCCAUCGACCCCGCGGGCAGCUCCAGCGACCUAGCCAACGCACGUCGCCAGCCCGAGCGCACGUCGCCAGUAGAAAAACAACAGUUUAUUCUUCCGGCAAGUUAGCCAUCCGGUCACAUCGUUCUCGCAUCAGGUGGAGCCUCUCAUGCAAUCAACCUAAAACAGCACUGCUCGCCAGCUGUUGCUCACAAAACAGCACUGCUCGCCGGCUGUUGCUGCAUCAGGUUUGUUCUUUCCGGCUUCGUUCUCGCACCAGGUGGAGCCUCUGAUGCAAUCAACGUGAAUCGCCUACGUUGCUCACAAAACAGCGCUGCUCGUCGGCUGUUGUUGCAUCCUCCUGGCGUCAUCUUCACAGUUCUUCACCUGCCGUCUUCUGCCUCUUAUGUGGCAAACGGCGGAGAAUCGCCUUUGUGAGCUCAUCAUGCCCUAGGUUUUCCAUCCUGAACUGUUUCCUGCAAAAAAAAAAAAAAAUCAUCAUGUCUUAGCAAAGUAGCUAUAGAAUAAAGAAACACCCUAAACUGAAUAUGUGGCAGCUCACCCAAUUUCAUAUUACUUACACAUGUUCCAGUGCAAUCCAGUUAUAAAGUCUUAUCAUUUUCUUAUUGCAAAAGAAUGCAGUUUAGUGAAUAACAUAUUGGCGACAAAGAUGUCACAGAAAAGAGGGAAUCUACAUGAUAAAGGAAGAAAGAGGUAUGUGUAUGCCAAUCACAUAUUUGGACAUAAGGUAUACAGUAAUCUUUCACAACUUAUCCUACAUUAAUUCUUAUCAGUUGUUGAAUAUGAGAUGACAGCGAAGCGACAACCCACCAUUACCCACCGACCACUAUCUGUUUUUUUUCAUACGCGACCAAACGGACACUACUAACUACAGUGCUUCGUCUUCCAACGAUGAUGACAAUCUUCCCACGCAACUCCGUAUGAUGGUUCCCGUAGCUAGCAAUCUCACGGCCUUUCGGCCAGUGCAACAUGUCAAAUACCCAAGAGGUAUCACCCUUACCCACUGACAUAUUUUCCAUUAGCAUUUAUACAUUUCAUAACCAAAGUGGUCCAUAAAAUGGUUUUUCAGGAAAUCAUUCUCGUGAAGCCACCUACUAUGAUCAUUGUGCAUCACUUGGAGGAACACAUAGCAGCACUGGACAUGAUAUUGUUUCAUAUAUAGCGUUGAGGCUCAGCACCUCACAUACUGGUCCUGAACACCUUGCUUCAAGUGUAGUCAUUACAUCAGACAAAAAACAGAAAAGGCCAAACGAAAUAGGUUAACACCUAAACAGAAGGAGGAAAUCAAUGCACAUCGUAGAGCAGCUAGGAAAAAGCAGAUGAGGAGAGGAAUUCGUGACAAAGAGAAGCCUGGCAACAUAUGAUAUCAAAGGAGAAGGAACAGAGUAGCGCCCUUAGAAGGGCGGCCUACCAAAAUGUGUCAGUCGAGGACAAGCAAGACAAGAAUAGUUGUGGAAGGGUGGCCUACCAAAAUAUAUCGGUCGAGGACAAGCAAGAUAGGAAUAGCUGCAGAAGGGCGGCCUACCAGUCGGUCGAGGACAAGCAAGAUAGGAACAGUUGUAGAAGGGCAGACUACCAAAAUAUGCUAGUCGAGGACAAGCAAGAUAGGAACAGCUGAAGAAGCCAAAAAGGGCCGCCUACCAGAAGAUGACUGACGACAAUGAGCAAGAGACAAACUCCCGCCGAAGAACACGUGUGGAAAACAUGUCACCCGAGGAGAAGCAGAAUAUGCUAGCUCAGCGAAAGGCAAAACUCACACCUAGACACAACACCCCUUGCAUUGAAUACGUCACAAUGCCGCGACCAGAUGCAGCUACCUUAGCUGCCCCCAACCUGAUGUUGACCAAUCAUGCAUUCGUAGACGAAGAAACCGCUGCUUCAUCUCAUGCCCCCCGGUCGGCAAGUAAGGUUGGUUACAAUUUGGCAUCACACAGUAAUCCCCCCAUCUUUACUCUACUUGGUAUGUCCAUCUAUGUUCAACAAGUAUUUACUGGAUCACUAAUGGUGCGGGCGAGUACCUUAGUCGUACCCUGGGCGACGAUGAUCAACAAGACGACCACAUAAAUGCGUCGCGCCAAAGCAAUGAUCAGCGAAUAUACAAUAACCAGAAUCAAGCCCAUGAGAAGAGGGGUGAGACUAGAGCACGUCGUAGGGCUUAGAAGCGAGCUCACAAAUAAGGUAUGGCGGUAAAGAAGAUUCAAGGGAAUGUCGUAAAAUGAAGAGCGCGCAGGAAGAGCAUACCAAAAGGUGAGAGGUCAGCAUUGCUAGAUCGUCGUAAUGCAAGCUUUGAAGCUAAACCGAGGACUCCCCGCCAAGCGGCAAGUACCUUAGAUACGAACAAAGGAGCAACAAACUCAUAUUCACCACCCAGAGGAGCUGCUUCACUAGCUUCCUCCCCUUCAUCAAGCACGUCGUCUUACACCAUAGGGACCGAAGGUAACCCUUCCAUCUUUACACUUCACCAAGUGACCAGCCACACUAAACCAUUACUUACCGGCUCAACAAUAUUGCAGCUGAUAUGGAAGCACGGAUGAUGAGGUUAUGGUAGAGCACGGAUGCAGACUCUCGGCAUUUCCAGGAGAGCAUUUGGUUCUUUAGCGGUCACUUCUCCUUCACUACCCUUGGCGUCAGCCUAGACAACAACUACACAAACAUGAAGUCUGGGGUAUACACGUUUCGGGCACAUGGCACUAUUUGCCACAAAGUGCACUCGUUCAGUACAAUAGCUCAUCCUGGACAUGUGAAGUUGUACUUCUACGAUGAUGACCCAAACUUAAGACAUCGCAAGGAGGCCACCGGUAAAUUGGACCAACGUGUUGUCACCAAGUUAGUUGACAUCCUCAGGGGCAACCCCUACUCCCAAUAGUUUAGAAGUUUGGGUGCCCACAAGGAAAACCUCGAGGAGUAGCGUAUAGACCUCAACAUUGACAACAAGCUAGAUCAACAGAGAUAUAAUAGACCGGUGUCAUACGAGGCAGUUGUGAUUUGGGUAGAGGGAAGCGAUCUAGAAAACAGGUUCAACCCCAGCAUUGCACUCUAUGGGGACAACAACGAGAAGCAUAGUAUACAUCCAACAGAUUGCUGCUAUGACCCGCUCUUGUAUCCCCUCUUUUUCCCAAGGGGUGAUCUUUGUUGGCAUCCAAAUAUCCCUAAGAACAAUGUCCCUUGCAAGCUUGCACAGCAACCAAGAGGGAACCACUAUAAUGAUUCAGGUUCGCCUAUUUGGUACAGUUAUAUGCAAUAAAAAAAUUGUCUAUCCGUUCCCAAAUGGUACCUAACCUUCUUAUUUCACGUCUUUCCGAAGAAGGGAAGGGCCGGUUGUGUGUCUCUGUGAGAGACUACUACUGUUACCGACUACAUACGCGCACUGCGGUAUUCAAACCCAUACUUCAUAGAGCAUGCAUGUUCCUGCAGUGGGGUGUGGACAUGCUCAUCAAGAUUGAGGGUUGUACGCUGAACUGGAUCAGGGACCACCAAUCACAGAUACGUGCCAAUCUAUAUCAAGGCGUUAUGAAUAGCAUCGCAGUUGGGGAGGUGCGAGCGAGCGCCGUUGGCAAGAGGAUGGUGCUUUCAGGGACGCAUCAAGGGGAGCAACCAAGACAUGCAGCGAAGGCAUAUGGACACCAUGGCGCUGGUGCAGACGUAUGGGAAGCCUACCAUCUUUUUGACUAUAUAUGACAUGCAAUCCUAGCUGGGAGGAGAUACUGAAUGAGCUGCUUCCUGGCCAGACAUCCCAGGACCGACCAGAUCUUGUCGCACGUGUGUUCAAGGCCAAGUUGGAGACCAUGAAAGAGAUGUUGUUCAAGAAGCACAUCAUGGGUGUUGUGGCAGCCCAUAUGCAUGUUGUCGAGUUCUAGAAGAGGGGUCUUCCAAAUGCGUACUUCCCGUGAAUCAUGAAUAGAGAUUAUAAGCUUGUGGUGCCAAAGUAGUAUGACCCCGUCAUAUCGUUAGAGCUCCCGGACAAGCAUAAGUAUCCAUAGCUCUAUGACAUGGUCGUGAAGCAUAUGAUGCACGGCCCAUGCGGUCAUCUAAAUCCCAAAAAUAUGUGCAUGCAAGAAUUGAAGUGCAAGAGCAAGUACCCACGACCAUUCAACCAGAAUACCUUACAGGGGAAGGAUUCAUACCCUGUUUAUCGACAGCGGGACGAUGGUCGUCGGGCUGAGGUCUGCCGUCAGAUUAUGGAUAACAGAUGGAUGGUACCUUACAACCCUUAUAUGUGGUGGAUGUUCAACUGCCACAUAAAUGUUGAGGUGUGCUCCAGCAUCAAGGUCGUCAAAUAGCUUUACUAAUACGUAUACAAGGGCCAUGAUUGAGCUUCAAUCAGCAUCGACCAGCCUGACAGGAAACGGGUUGUAGACGAGAUUAAAAGGUACAUCGAUGUGAGAUGGGUUACUUCAUCGGAGGCGAUGUGGAGGAUAUUCGGCUUCAACCUUUCUGAGAGUUCCCUGUUGGUCCUAUAGUUGCCGCUUCAUCUCCCUAAUAUGCAUAGUGUCACGUUCAAAGCGGGAGAGGACCUGAACGAUGUCCUCGUCCGUGAUAAUGCAUCUAAGUAAAUGUUGACAGAGUAUUUCCUCGCUAAUCAGCAGCACGUGUGAACUCGAGAUAUCUUGUACGAGGACUUCCCGGGAAGUUUCGAAUGGCAGAGAGCAAAGUAUUGGAGACCGAGACAAAAGAAACACUAACUAGGUCGAAUUGUGUGUCAGCCCAUCCAGCUGAGGGGAAGCGGUACUUUCUACGAGUGCUACUCAACCAUGUAACAGGCAAGACAUCCUUUGGGGACCUAGGGAUCAUGGAUGGUGUGCUAUGUGAUAUCUUCCCUGAGGCUGCCAAGAGAUAAGGCCUCAUCGAGGCUGACAACACACUUGACGAGUGUCUUCUAGAGUCAACAGAGUUUGCGACGCAAGCCUCACUCGGGAGGCUCUUUGCAACAAUCUUGGUACUCUGGGAGCCAGGUGACGUGUGUUGUCUAUGUGAUAGGCACCUAGAGGUGAUGUUUGAUGACUACCAUCGAUCACACAUGUGCUCAAAGGCAGUGCAGCAGAUGGUGUUUCUAGACAUCAGGGGCAUGCUACGGUCAAUGGGCAAAGACAUGGCAUUGUUCCCUCUUCCAGACAUUGACAGGACCUAUGACACUACUCGAUGCGAGGCAAGAGAAGUCAUAGAGGAGUCCAACAUCGAGGUUGACACGAUGGACGCUGCUAUAGCGUCCUCGCUAAAUCCUGAGCAGAGGCUCGCAUACGAUAAGAUCCUGGCAGCAGUACAUGCCGGUGAUGGGGGUGUAUUCUUUGUUGAUGGCCAGGGAGGCACCGGGAAGACCUUUCUAUACAUGGCAGUGCUCGCAAAGGUUCGAGGGGAGGGCAAGAGCGCGGUAGCAAUAGCGACGUCGAGCGUCGCGGCUUUCAUCAUGCGUGGAGGCAGGACGACCCACUCGAGGUUCAAGAUCCCACUCGGCAUUGAAGAUGAGGCAUCGUGCAGCUUCACCAAGCAAAGUGGGACGGCCAAGCUUGUGCAUGUUUUCCCUCAUCCUACGGACGAGAUCACCAUGACGAAGCAGAAAGCUAUUGAGGCAUUGGACAAUAGCAUGUGGGACAUCGUGAGGCGACGACACCGACCAUUCAGGGGGAAAACUGUCGUGUUCUGUGGGGACUUCAAGCAGGUGCUUCCGGUUGUCACGAAGGCGUCACGGGGUCAAAAAAUCGAUGCGACCAUGCGGAGUUCAUACCUUUGGAAGGGUAUGCGCCAGCUAAGGCUCGUCAUGAACAUGAGAGCGCAUAACGUCCCAUGGUUCGUAGAUUACUUGCUAAGGGUAGGCAUCGGCAUCGAAGAAACUGAUGAGGAAGGCAACAUAAGGCUCCCUGAAGAUAUUUGUGUGCCGCCAACAGGAAACGGUGUUGACCUAGAGAAGGUAAUCGACCAUGUAUUUCCUGGUCUAGACCACAACAUGGCUGAUCGAAAUUACAUGACAUCUCGAGUGAUCCUCUCCACCAAGAAUGACAACGUCGAUAAGAUAAACACGCGCAUGAAGAGCGCUUCUAGGUCGAGGAGAAGAUCUACCACAAUUUUGAUAGUGCAGAGGAUAAUCCAUGCAGCUACUAUGCCCGUGAGUUCCUCAACAACCUAACUCUCAACGGGCUGCCUCCACAUGCACUCAAACUAAAGAUAAAUUGCCACAUUAUACUAUUGAGAAACAUUGAUCCAACUAAUGCAUUGUGUAACGGCACAAGGCUUGUGCUUCGGGGUUUCCAAAGGAACGCCAUCGACGCAAAAUCAUUCUAGGACAUCAUGCUAGUAGGAGGGUGUUCCUUCCUGAGAUACCUCUGUGUCCAUCCGAUGAUAAUAUAUAUCCUUUCAAGUUCAAGAGGAAGGAGUUCCCUAUUAGGCUUAGAUUUGCCAUGACGAUCAACAAGGCACAAGGACAGACCAUACCGAUUGUUGGGGUGUACCUAAUGGACCCGAUUUUCUCUCACGGUCAGCUCUAGGUUGCAUUGUCUAGAGCCACCGCAAAGAGGAACGCUAAGAUUCUCGCCAUCAAGGACGACGAUGUGGGUAAAGGCUAGGGUAAGGGCAAGGAACAAAGCAAGAAUUCAAAGAAGCGAAAAAGAACUGAGUCCUUAUUAAGGACCGUGAAGAACAUAGUCUACAAGGAAGUCCUAAGCACAUAAAGUCACUGGAUCAAAUUAUAGCAACUCAGGGUAAAGUAUGUUCAAUUCUGCACUACAACCACAUAACUAUUGUAAAUCUUAAUGCACACUAAACUGUGUUUUUUGAUGUGUAGUACUCGAGGGAGCAUUGUCAAUCUUUAGGAACCAUGUGUAUUCCUUCCGCCACAUCUGCCCAUCCUAUACUUGGUCAAAGUUGGACAUGUUUAAGCUGGAAAUAACAAGAGACCACGUGAAAAUUCAAAUAAAUGCAUGAGGAAGAUGCAUGGACAGUGACUUGGUAAAUAAGAACAAAAAUACUAAGGUGUAGUAUUUCUUUCUAAGGCAUAUGCUUUUUAAUAUGGUAAAAACCUGAGGCAUCUAAUAUCAUAUAUAUAGCAAUAAAAAAAUUGACUACGAGCUGAGUUUGCCAUAAGUGAGCUCCUCAUGUCACUACUAUCUCUACUAUCAAAAGAUGACACUCAAGUCAAUAGAUACAAAGGAACAUAAUAUGUUCAUCUGCUUUUUUCCGUAGCUCUGUGCUAAGAUUUAGCACGCAGGUGUGUCCUUCAAUUUUAACUCAUUCUUGAACAUCAAUUUCAGGCCUCAAAAUUCAUUGCUGAAGGUGAUUCCAAAGUGCCAUCUACAUGAUUAGAAACAUCAACCCUUAAUCUAUUCAGCAAUAGUGUUCUAGUGACUGGUGAAUGAGUCAUAUUAGAACCUAAAUACAAUCACCGCUAACCUACAAAAUGGCAAGGAGAUCAGAAUGGAAGCUCUGGCAAAUUACCAUUAUAGAGCGUUCUACUGAGCUUAUUUGCCAAAAGAUGCAGACCUAGCUUUGUAGUCGUUUUUUACAUUUGGUACAUCACUAUGAUUGUCACCAUUGGAGAGUACUGACUUUUAUGUCAGGUUACCUUGCUUCAAUCUGUAUGAUUAUCCUGAUGUGUUUUUCUCUGUUGAAAUGCAUUGUGCGUGUGUACCCUUGUUAUCUCCUGGCCAUUAUCCUGCCUUUGCCUGAUUGAAGCAUACGUGAUUUGCUUGAUCCGAUCGAUACUCACCCAUGCCUUUUGGAUUAGGAACGACUAAAAUGGUUUAUAGAAUAACUUCAACGCCACUUUACCUGUUCUAUUAAAAUCAAGUUUUAAUGAUUAUGUCCCUAAAACAACUAUACGUUUAUUACACUAACUACUUUCAGUUGGUUAGCCCUUUAAGUGAGUUUAUGGGAAAUGGAUGUGGCAAAAACUCCGAAUCCAAACAACAUACUCCUAACUGCAUAUCGAUACUACUCAUCUAGCUAGCCUUCAAACCAUGUAUGUAUAAGAGAGACUCAAUCUAUCAUCAAUAUGUUUGCUUACCUCCAGCGGCGAUUCCUCUAGGUGGGCUUCAAUAGGCUGAAGCUUACUCUUCAAAACUCCUAUUUCAGCUAGAUAUACUACUUGACAAUCAUACCAAGGUGUUUACCAUGUAAAUUGCAAUGCAUUUGCUAAUUAAGCUUGGAAACUUGAUGUUUUAAGCCUACGUACCCUUCAGUUCCAUGCUAAAUUCGCCACUGCUUACCUCCAAGAUCGAACUUCACCAGCGGUGCCAAUCCAAUAGAGCUACCAAUGAUGGACGCGGAGGGAGAGAGGAGAGCCGUCCGUGACAAGGUAAGAUUCGUUCCUGGUCGAUCUCCGCCCAACCGGGCAAGCACGGUUUGCUGCAGGGUCUCCUCGCAUUGCACGGCUUGCGUUAGUCGCCAGGCGUUGCGAGCAGAAGAUUACGACCGGCCUGGCGCCACGCGGCAGGGGGCGGCGGGGCGCGGGGCAAAGGGCGCCGCGCGGUGGAUGUCGCCGAUUGUGCUCGUCCGUUAGAGCGCUGCCCCCCGGAUCUCGCCGGACAGCAUGGAGUGGUGCGGGUGGGUGUGGGAGGCUCGCGACGACACAGCCACGCGGUAGGGAUGGUACGGAGGCGGGGGUUGCGAAGUUCGUCCGGGAUGGGUUACUCGCAGCAUCGCACGGUGUGCGGAUGCGCGCCGGCGGCAACACAAAGGAGCUGGAUGAGUGGCUAGCACAGGGAAGGGGGCGGAAUGAGUGAUGAGGAGAAAGUGAGACCGGACCUCUGUAAAAGGGAUGAUUGGCUGUGAACGAGCAGACCAACUUUACGUGAUUUUUUUCAUGAAAAAAGGAACAUACAAGGGUGUGGAACUGUACGUGAUUUUUUGCCCAUAGCAGUCGAGCUGUACGUGAUUGGACCAUAAAAGUUCAGCAACCGUUGGUCGUAAGUGCAGUAGUUUCGGUACUAGAAUUGUUUUUUUGUCACAAGGCUCCAUAUCGGACAGGGCUGGAGUAUAUAUUAUAGCAUAAUAAGCGAGGUAUUUAGGGAGUGUGUCAUGGCUAUCAAACUUAUUAGAUGUCUGUCUUUUUAUUCUUUUAUUUUGCAAGUUAUAUAUGAAUUAUGAUACUAUUAUCUAAAAAAAAAUUGAUACUAUAUUUAAAUCAUAUUCUGUAUAUAUUUCACUUCUGCAGAAUGAGCCAGUCAUAGAUACGAACAUUGUUGACUGUCAAAAAGAACCUACCAACAGAGCGCGAUAGACAUAGACAUCGUGGACAAUAAAAAAGAACCUACCGAUUAGAGCCUGAAAAAUUGAUACUAUAUUUAAAUCAUAUCCUAUCUGUAUUUCAGUUUUACAGAAUGUGUCAAUCAUAGAUACGGAUAUUGUUGACCAACAGAAAGAACCUACCAACAGGAUCCAAGAGACAAUAGAUAUGGAUGAGGGAGGCCAGGACUAAGGGCUCCUCGGACCUCUGGCGUAUCUUUAUGAGUCGGACUCCUGGGCUUCUUCGGGCUGGAGAUGACAUGUACAAGGAAGAUUCCACAAGACCUGGUCAUCAAGACAAGGACUCCUCUACACCGACAUAGCCGACUAGGACUCUUGUUAUCCUAGGACUAUGGUGCAUUAUAUAAACCGAGGCCACGCUAGUCGAUAGACAAUCUCAUAUUCAAAUGAUCAUUACUCUUAGGGUUUAGGCCACAACAUCCGAUCUCGUAAUAGAUCAACUCUGUAAUUUGUAACAACAAGAGCAUGACGUAGGUUUUAGCUCCAUCAAGAGGGCCCCAACCUGGAUAAAACACCGUCUUCUUCGUCUCUUGUUCCCCAUCGACCUUAGAUCCACAGUUCAGUUUCGCUACUCGAUAUCAGCCGGUUUUGGCACCGACAUUGGUGCUUUCACUCAGAGUUUCAUGGCUCGUCUUCAGAUUACAGUUUUUCUGGACAACGAUUUUGUGUUCGUCGUCCCUGUUUCAUCGAGCGUCGCUUUGACGAUUGCUUUGGUGGAAUUGUGUGAAAUUAUAUCUACAACAACUCUGCAAAAUUUCACCACAUUCCGAUUGAGGAAUCUCCGGCAAUCUCCGAUAUACCGGAGCCAUGUCAAGUCUUGAUGCGAAUCUCGAUGAGUUUAUGGCGAGGGUCCAGCGUCCAGCUUGGACAUCAUUUGGAAAAUCCCACAGUUCAACGGAUGUGGAAUUCCUAUAUCGAUCACCACUCAAAAUUUCAUCUCGAUCCGACUAUUCAAACUUCGGUAAAUGUUCGAUGAGUGCAUCCAUUUUUCAGAUCAAUUUUCGUUGCGAAAACAAAUCCGCCCUAGUUCAUCUUUCUUCAUGAACGGGGUUUUGAACAUCCUAUUUGAAGGAAUUUUUAAGAAGGUAUUAUGCGUUAUUCUAAAACAUAUGCCCAUAAAUUUUGGGCAUUUUCCAAGGCAAUCUUCACCGUCACGCUGGUGUCAAACCAACCCGACAAUGUUGCUCCAUGGCUUCCGAGUUGUGCCAGCAUCGACUCCGUUGUCGCUCUAUCGAGCCAACGACAACCAUCUCGGAUCAUCAUUUCGGUCAGCCGACCAAGAGUCCGGCAUCACGAGGGAUGAAUAACCAUUAAGAGAACCUCGUCACCCAUGGGUUGCACGGGUCGGGCGCGUUGUUGCUUCAUCAUGCUAGCAUUGACUGCGUCACAAAAUCUGACCGGAGUUAGCAUUGCCGCGCCGUCGCUUUUUUCAAUCCAACUUUUAACAGACCGACCUUCUUCGGCAUGUCGGCUGGAAUGAGGGCUCGAAAGUCACCAUACCGAUCUGCUCGGUUAGCUUGGCUAGACCGGGGAUUUCGCCAUCUCUUCAUCAACCAGCUCCGUGGACUUCAACGUCACCAGCCAGCCAGCUUCAUCAUGUUAGCUGGACCGGGGACUUCGCCUUAUCACAUCGAUCGUCCUGCAUUGUCACUUCGUCAAGCCGAGAUCUUCGCUCGGGCACCUCGAGACCGGCUUGGGGGCUGGGACCUCGACCUGCCAAAAGCCCGACCCUCGUCAUUAACACCGAGAACAUUAACCGGCUAAGUCACUUUCAUGCUCAAUUUUUUCAAUUUUGAAUUUUUGUGCGGUUCAAUCAGUCAUUGUAUUUGUGUUAACAAAAAAGUUGUUUGUUUAAAACAUAGCUUGUUAAGAGCAUUGUUUGUUAAAUAUACUUUCUUUACCCAUGUUACCUGGGGGCUUUUAAAUUUAUAUGAGUUGUUUUAUAAUAAGUGUUUUCUUCUUGGUCGUUGCAAAGUCUUUUUCUACCGCUCCUUUCUCGACUCGAUUGUUCGGUCAAUAGUCGGAUUGCCUGGUUUCUUUCUAAAGCUGCUCGAGUUUAAUUUGCUAAACUCGCCUCGAAGAAACACUCCGCGUCCGGGAUAUGGAGGUUGAAGCCGAAGGCUGACACGCUUGAAAUCUUGAGCUCGGAUGUGGCAUGUUAAAGCAUGACGGAAGCAAAAAAUUAAUUUUAAGACCACUUUUCGGAUUGGCACCAAGAAAUUUGAUUUAGUACUAUGUAAAGUUUUUGCUAAAGUUUUUGGGUUUUCCAAGCUUAUGGCGCCUUUAACCUAUUGUAUGUUUUUUUUUCAGGAGGCGGGACAUCCUCUUGUUCGAGGUGUUCAGCGUGGUAGUUCUGCUCGGGAAAUCUUUUGCAACCCGCAGUUCGACAUCUUUCCUGUCGAUCUGUACUUCGGCGUUGUACAUAACAAGUGUCGAAUAGUUUUCGAGGAGAUUAUGAUCCUGAGGUUGGUCGCGUGCACCCAACCUGAGUCUCGAGGACUACGCACAUUGUGUUUCCGUUCCUAAGUAUGCCGCCGAGCUAGGAGUUGAUCCCCAGGCCGAUUUCACGAAUCGACCUGGGUCUCAGGGGCUACUGGGAUCAGAUGUUUUUAUCCUUCAGGUGCAUCCCGGGUUUUAGACAAACACGCACCUCGAGGGCUACUGGCUAUAUAUCUCGAUAGUAAUUGAAUUGCACUGAUCCCUAAUACGUCUCCGUCGUAUCUACUUUUCCGAACUCUUUUGCCCUUGUUUUGGACUCUAAUUUUGCAUGAUUUGAAUGGAACUAACCCGGACUGACGUUGUUUUCAGCAGAAUUGCCAUGGUGUUGUUUUUGUGCAGAAAUAAAAGUUCUCAGAAUGUCCUGAAAAUUUACGGAGAUUUUUCUGGAAGAAAAGAAAAAUACGAGCGCAAAGAUCCACCGGAGGGGGCGUGCCAGUGGGCCAUAAGCCCACAGGCCCACCCCCUAGGCCGCGCCGUGCAGGAUUGUGGGGCCCACGUGGCACCACCGCCCCCAUACUCAGCUCUAUAUCUUCCGUCUCGCCCGGAAAAAAAAUCAGAGAGAAGGUUUCAUCGCGUUUUGUGAUACGGAGGCGCCGCCACAUUCUGUUCUUCAUCUGGAGGGCAGAUCUGGAGUCCGUUUCGGGCUCUGGAGAGGGGAAAUCGUCGCAAUUCCAUGAUGCUAUUCAUGAUGCUCUUCAUCGUUCUCCAUCGACAAUUCCAUGAUGCUCUUCAUCGUUCGUGAGUAAUCUCAUGUAGGCUUGCUGGACGGUGAUGAGUUGGAUGAAAUCUAUCAUGUAAUCGAGUUAGUUCUUGACAGGGAUUGAUCCCUAGUAUCCACUGUGUUCUAGAUUGAUGUUGCUACUACUUGGCUAUGCUUAAUGCUUGUCACUAGGGCCCGAGUGCCAUGAUUUUAGAUCUGAACCUAUUAUGUUGUCGCCAAUAUAUGUGUGUUUUAGAUCCUAUCUUGCAAGUUGUAGUCACCUACUAUGUGUUAUGACCCGGCAACCCCGGAGUGACAAUAGCCGGAACCACUCCCGGAGAUGACCAUAGCAUGAGGAGUUCAUGUAUUCACCACGUGUUAAUGCGUUGGUCCGGUUCUUUAUUAAAAGGAGAACCUUAAUAUCCCGUAGUUUCCAUUAGGACCCCGCUGCCACGGGAGGGAUGGACAAUAGAUGUCAUGCAAGUUCUUUUCCCUAAGCACGUAUGACUACAUACGGAAUACAUGCCUACAUUAGAUUGACGAACGGGAGCUAGUUACUUAUCUCUCCGUGUUAUAGCUGUUAAAUGAUGAAUCAUAUCCGUCACACUCAUCCAUCACCGAUCCACUGCCUACGAGUCUUUUACUACUGGUCCUCGCUACGUUACUUUGCCUAGGCUUGUCCCUUGCUACAAAAGGGAUUGGGCCACUUUGCUGCUACUAUUGCUACUGUUGUUACUCUGCUACUGAUGUUCCUUGCUGCUUCGCUGUUACUUGUUGCAGACUUUUCUGGAGCCGUUGCCUGGGAAGAAUAGUUCCCCGUUCACGUGCUCUUUAUUGGCACCAUUGAUACAACUGUUAGGAAUAGUCUGCCGUCAACAGAUCGUUUCUGGCACCGUUGCUAUCAUAAUACUUUGCUACUGAUACUUUGCUUGCAGACAAUAAUCUUUCAGGUGUGGUUGAAUCUGACACAUUCAGCUGCUAAUACUUGAGAAUAUUCUUUCGCUUCCCGUCUUGGCGAAUCAACAAAUUUGGGUUGAAUACUCUACCCUCGAAAACUGUUGCGAUCCCAUACGCUUGUGGAUCAUCAAGGCUCUUUCUGGCGCCGUUGCCGGGUAAGCACAGCUAUAUUCUCUGAGUCACUUGGGAUUGACGUCUGCUGAUCACUAUGAGGAAUCCGAAAGAUCCAAGAACUAAAAUCCUACCUUCCACUACAAGGAGAGGUAAGGAACUGCCAUUUAGCUCUGCACUUGAUUCACCUUCAGUUUUGAGUAAGUUUGCGACUUCGCCUCCUACUAGAAAUCUUGAUAUUUCGCAUGUGCUUGAUGAUGCUACUUCUGCUGCCCAUGAUACUUAUGAUGCUAUGCUUGAUACUAUGCCUAAUGAUGUUAUGCUUGAUACUAUGUCUGCUAUGCCUGAUACUGCUUUGCCACUUGGUGCAUUCCUUGAUGCACAUAUUGCUAGAGCUGCUGCUAGAUGUGAUGAUACUUCUCAAACUGUUGAUACUAUUGAAGUAGAACAUGCUACUAUGCCUGAAUUGCCUGUCAUGCCUGAUACGCGCUAUGUUAUGGAGGGAGAGAUAGCUGAGGAUUUUCUUGCGUGUAAGGAUAGCUAUGAUGUUGAGAAACUUCUGCGCAAGUGGAAAGAAAAAUCUCUCAACGCUAGGAUGAAAUACGACCCGAAGUUUGCUACAUCUCAUAUCUUUGUGACCGAUAAGGAUUAUAAAUUCUCUCUCGACCCUGAGUUAAUCACUCUUGUCGAAUUUGGUCCCUUUCACGGUUAGGAGUCUGAAACGGUUGUAGCCCAUAUUACCAAACUGCACGAUAUAGCCACCCUAUUCACUAGUGAGGAAAAGAUCCGCCACUACUAUAUGCUCAAGCUGUUUCCUUUCUCGCUAAAGGAUGAUGCUAAGACCUGGUUCACUUCUCUUGCUCCUGGUUGUGUGCGUAGCCCCCAGGAUAUGGUCUACUACUUCUCUGAAAAAUAUUUCCCUGCCCAUAAGAAGCAAGUUGCCUUGCAGGAAAUAUACAACUUUGCUCAAGCUGAAAAAGAGAAUCUCCCACAAGCUUGGGGGAGGCUCGUCCAGCUACUGAAUGGUUUGCGUGAUCACCCUCUUGAGAAGAAUGAAAUACUUGAUAUCUUCUAUAAUGGACUUGCCGAUGCUUCUAGAGACCACCUAGAUAGUUGUACUGGUUGUGAUUUUAGGGAACGAACCGUAGAACAAGCUGAGAUUCUACUGAAUAAUAUCUUGUGCAAUGAGAAUGCUUGGACUAUUCCCGAACCACCUCCUAAGCCAACUCUGAAGAAAAGAGGUAUUCUAUUCCUCAGUCCUGAAGAUAUGCAAGAAGCCAAGAAAUCUAUGCGAGAGAAAGGCAUUAAAUCUGAAGAUGUCAAAAAUCUACCACCUAUCGAAGAGAUCCAUGGUCUCGAUAACCCAAUACAGGUAGUAGAAGUAAAUUCUCUGCGUAGGUUUGAUGAGAGUGAUAUUCCUUUUGAUAAACCUGCUAGCUUAUGCCUGGAUGAAUUUGAUAACUUUGUUGCCAAACAACAGAGUUUCAAUGAUUAUGUUAGCAGACAAUUGGAAAAGAAUGCUCGUAUGCUUAGUCAUUUAAGUGCUUGUGUGGACAGAAAUGUCAAUGAUCUUAAGCUCCUCAGUAAACAUGCCUCUAUGGUUACUACUCAGGUAGAACAAGUACUUAAAGCUUAGAAUGACUUGCUCAAUGAGUUGAAUGACAAUUCUGUCAGAGUCGUUACUAGAGGCGGUAGAAUGACCCAAGAACCUUUGUAUCCUGAGGGUCAUCCAAAGAGAGUAGAACAAGAGUCUCAAGGAGUUAGCACUAAUGCACCUAGUCAUCCUAGAAAGAAGAAGAAAGAUGAUAGGAACCUGCAUGCUAGCAACCCUGUUGCUGCUACACCUGAGAGUCCAAACGAUGCCUCUGUCUAUGAUGCUGAGACACAAUCUGGUGAUGAACAUGAGCCUAAUGAUAAUAUCAUAGUGAUGUUCAUGUUGAUGCUCAACCUAGCAAUGAAAAGGAUGUGGAGAUUGAACCUAUUGAUCUUGAUAACCCACAGCCUAAGAAUAAGAGAUAUGAUAAGAAUGACUUCACUGCUAGGAAGCACGGUAAAGAAAGGGAACCGUGGGUUCAGAAACCCAUGCCCUUUCCUCCCAAACCAUCCAAGAAAAAGGAUGAUGAGGAUUUUGAGCGAUUCGUUGAAAUGAUCAGACCUGUCUUUCUGCAAAUGCGUUUAACGGAUAUGCUCAAGAUGUCUCCGUAUGCUAAGUACAUGAAAGAUAUUGUGACUAAUAAGAGGAGGAUACCUGAUCUUGAGAUCUCCGUCAUGCUUGCUAAUUAUACCUUCAAGGGUGGAACUCCUAAGAAACUAGGUGAUCCAGGUGUGCCCACUAUACCUUGCUCCAUUAAAGGCAACUACAUUAGAACUGCGUUAUGCGACCUUGGAGCCGGUGUUAGUGUUAUGCAUCUCUCUCUUUAUCGUAGACUUGAACUGGAUAAGUUGACACCCACUAAAAUCUUUCUGCAAAAGGCCGACAAAUCAACUGCUUUCCCUAUCGGCAUUUGCCAGGAUGUGCCUGUUGUGGUUGCUAACACCACUAUCUUAACAGACUUUGUUAUCUUGCAUAUUCCUGAGGACGAUGCCAUGGUUGUCAUCGUCGGAAGACCCUUUUUAAACACUGCAGGGGUUGUUAUAGACUGCAACAAAGGCAAUGUCACUUUCCAUGUCAACGGUAAUGAGCAUACGGUGCACUUUCUGAAGAAACAAUAUCGAGUACAUUGCAUCAAUGAUAUCGAAAAAACUUCAUCGAUUCUUAUCGGGAGCUUUGAAUGCCCUAUUCCUCGUGUCAAGAUGAAGUAUGAUUUGCUUGUUGGGGAGAUACACAUCCCCAUUGAGGUGACUUAGUGACUAUUUGAGAAUUCUCCGCUCUCUUUUGCGAUUCGAAAAGGUUUGUCGAGGAGACUUGAUCGACCUCAUUGACGGAUUUUCUUUCGAUGACCAUGAGAUGGAUGAAUCGAGGAGUCACAAACCUGUGUUCCAAGCUUUCACUUUGGGUUGCUUAGAAGAAAAAUGAUAGGCUUAGAUUAGUUUUCCAUGUUUUCUGUUUUAGCAUCCGGUAGAAAAGUACCCCAAAAAUAAAAGUUCUCCGAACGUCCUGAAAAUCUAGUAUGAUUUUUUCUGGAUUUUUUGAAAAAUACAGGGACAAAGAGUCUGUCUAGGGGCCACACCAGUGGGCCACAAGCCCUAGGGGCGCGGGCACCCCUGGCUACGCCACCCAGGCUUGUGGGGCCCACAUGCACCCCCUCCACUCCUUCUUGCUCUUAUCUCCUUCUCCUACCUCGAGAAAAAAUUGUUUCGCAGCUCAAACCCGUGUUCUUGCUCCUCUUGCUGGGAUUUUCGAUCUCUUUGCUCAAAUCACCGUUCUCCGAACUGUUUUGGGGAAAUUACUCCUUGGUAAAUGACUCAUCCAUUGGUCCAAUUAGUUAUUUCUCUAGUGCCUUAUACUCCGCGUAUCUUUGCUGCCUUGGUGACCAUGUUCUUGAGCUUUGCAUGCUAAUUCUAGCUGGUCCCAAGUAGUUUUCAUGCGUAAUAUGGUCUCUAGGCACUUGUUGGAGUAGUUGCCAUGAGUUUCGUUGAGCCUUAUUCACUUUUCCUUAGAGUCACUAAAAAUUUCAGAAAUUUUCAGAGAUAGAAAAGGGAAAAGAUGAGGAGGUUCUUGAGAGGCUCUUCUAGCCGUGACCCCAAGGAUGAUGGGAGUGAGAAGAAGCCCAAGUAUCAGGUACCUCGAGUCGCAGAAGUUUGAGCGUGCGAGUGUGUCGUGGUUUUGUCACGGCAGAUGUCCUCGUGAAAGGACUUAGUACUGGAGCCAUCGCACCUUGGUGGCGACUCAAAGGGGUUAAACGGGAGGAACACGACGAUUUACCCAGGUUCGGCCCCUCGAGAGGAGGUAAUAGCCUACGUCCUGCUUUGUGUGUAUUGAUGUGGAUUCGAUUACAAGGGAGGCGUAACUCGCCUAACCUAGCACUCGAUGAUUUUCUACCUCCCUCUCCUCCUUAGGACUCGCCUGCGCACGGUGGAGUUGAGUUCUCAAAGGGAGCCCUACCAGGGUUUGGGAGUUACGCGACGGCGCUCAUGUCCCGGAGCCGCCGCGGGAUAAUCUACAUCGACAACCAGCUAUGGGGACCCGAAGCAAAUUCGAUCGAAUCUGGCUACAGGGUCCCCUUCGGCGGAAUCAACAUCUUCAUCGGCAUGAUCGGAUCACCCGUCCCUGAGCCGGACAUCUCCACCGACAUCGUCGAGCCGGCCAGGUACGUCCGCCCAGUUAUAACACGAAACUUAACUCGCCCGGUCUUUGUGGGGUUCACGCAGGGAUCGGAGGAGCCAGAGCACCCAGCGAGUCAGGAGAUUACCCCGAUCAACUCGGACGACGAAUCAUCCAUGGGCGACUCAGAUUCUAUCCGGUCCCUCCACGGGGACGGCCUCGGAGGCUUAUCUCUGGCCAUGGAUCCGGAGGUGCUUGACCGAACCCGCCGCCAGAUCGCCAUCUACAUGGCCGGAGCGACUCAGCCGACACAAAACCCCACUGGAGGCGCUGGGACUGGCGAAGCGUCCAGAAGCCCAGUCGCAGUCCUGGCGGAUUUAGCAGCACAGAUCACGAGACUAACGGCGACUCCCCUCACGCCGGAGAACCAAGAAGAGAUAAACACAGAGUUAGCAAAGCUCAGAGAGGCGGUGGCUAAAACCCACCGGGAUGCUGAGGUGGAGUCCGCCAGAAUCGAGACUCGGCAAGCCCAAAUUACGGCCGAAAGGAUGCGUUUAAACACCGACCAUUGGCGACUCGAAAGACAGCAGCGCGCGUCCAAUGCCGUCCAUCAGAGAAGACACCAGGGGCGCCUGCCUCACGACCUCAAUCCGACCCGUCUGUUCGAUACUCCACGAACCCCCGGGGUAGUAGCCGCCCCAGCAGGAGGACAGGGUCACCCACCUAACCCGCCGGAUCAUCCGACCGAGGGCCAGAUUCCCCGUUUCCGGAUGCCCCAAGGCCACUUCUCCAAUCCGGUGGAUAAUGUGCUUGCCGCAACUCGCCACCUGGAGUCUCUCCCGAUUCACGGCAACACCCCAGCUAAGAUAGAAGCAAGGAAUGCCAUCGAGAUGUUGAAGACAGCGGUGGUUCAAAACGCACAGUUCUCACACAGCCUUGAGAGAUUGCACUCCACCCCUCAGGCGAGCUAUACCAGGAGUAGGCCGGAGGAUCAGCCAGCCGUAAACAGUGGCCCGCGACACUUCCCGCAGGACAACCCGCCCAAGCGGAACCCGCCGGGCAGAGAUCUCCCCAACAUUCAAGACGCCCAGGCCCCCCUCGCAGGGACCGGAGGGCGAGUUGGGGUACCGUGCUUGUCCCUAGCCCUUCGGAACGAAAGAAUGCCCAAGGAUUUUAAAGGACCAAGAAAGGUGCCUAAUUAUACACCAGAUCUCGAACCAACAUCAUGGAUCGAGGGCUAUGAGAUUGCCAUGGACAUGCUCGACGUAAAUGAGGCGGUUUGCGCCAGAUAUUUCACCAUGAUGCUCGAGGGGUCGGCGCGCACUUGGCUAAAAAACUUACCUCCCAAUUCUAUCCAGUCCUGGGCCGAGCUGAAAGAGCGUUUCAUCAAAAACUUCCGGGGAACCUGUAAACGACCGAUGACGAUCGUCGACUUACAAAACUGCGUACAACGCCCGGAUGAGUCGGCACACCAUUGGUCACGGCGGGUCGCAGAAAUUAUUCAUUCGUCAGAUGGUAUCACGGCAGCACAAGCUGUGCUUAUCCUCGAACACAACUGCCACUAUGAACCGUUGGUCCAGAAAUUGGGGCGACUCAAACGGAAAGUUCAGGACAUGGGCGAACUGAUGGACACCCUCACUAGGUAUGCCGAGGCCGGUGAUACCAAGGAUCCCGGCGAGGAUGGUAAGGGUAACUCGCCCAAAAAGGGCGAUUCGACAAAAAAUCACACCCGUUUCCAGGGCCGCAACCGUCACAAUCAGGGGACCAACGGCAAGCGUAGGCCACAGGAGGAGCCCUCGGACUUGGUUGCAAACACCAAUGCCAAUGACGACAAAAAGAAGAAUCGAGGUUUCAGUGGGAAAAGGCCGUGUAACUAUGAAGAGCUACUCAAAGGCCCUUGCCCACACCACGCCACGGCCGACGGCCCGGCGGGCCACUCUUGGGAGAACUGUUUCAUGAUGCGAGAAUUUCGGGCGGAGGCAAUCAAGAAGAGCCAAAACGAAGAUCCGAACCGGCGCCAGGACCAACUCGCCGCGUCCAACCAAAGGCAGAACCCCUUCGGCGGCUUUCCUGAACAGGGGGCUCAGGGAGGCCCGCCACCAGGCGGCGGCCAGUACCCGGUGCACCACCAGCGGCGGUACAACCCGCCGGGAGUUUUCCAGCAGCCGCCCUCAUAGGGGGCUCCACAGGACCAGGAUGACAAUGGGGGCUUCCGCAGCAAUCCCAAACAGCUAAGUAAUGGGCAGUACCACGUUUUCACCACUAAUGCUUGCAGGCGGGAUAAAAAGGUAAAUCACCGGGCGUACAGUGUAACUGAGCCAGCGAUUCCCAGAUAUCUCCACUGGUCCGAGCAGACCAUAACAUGGAGCAGAGAGGAUCACCCGCCAAGAAUAGGUAACCCGGGCGACCUGGCAUUAGUCGUGGCUCCCCAAGUGGGGGGUUACACCCUGUCAAAUGUAUUAAUGGAUGGUGGCAGCAGCAUUAAUAUCCUAUACUUCGACACCUUCCGGAGGAUGAAUCUAUUGGAGAAAGACUUGAUGCCUUCAACCACGGUUUUCCAUGGCAUUGUCCCGGGCAAGUCGGCUUAUCCCAUAGGCCGGGUCAGGCUCUCAGUAGCAUUUGGAACUGCGCAGAAUUACAGGUCGGAGUCUCUAAUCUUCGAGGUGGUCAAGCUGAAAAGCCCGUACCAUGCGCUGUUCGGGCGACCGGCUUACGCCCGCUUCAUGGCCCGUCCGUGCUACGUCUACCUCAAGCUCAAAAUGCCUGGUCCUAAAGGACCCAUCACGGUUGAUGGAGAUAGAAAAAUCGCAAAGGAGUGUGAGGAAGGGGACGCGGCUUAUGCGGAAGUCGCCUGUGCGGCAGAAGAGCUCAAACAUCACCCGGCCAAUGUUGACCCGGCAGACAUGUCACCACUCAAGAAGCCGACUACAGAUUCUGAGUCGCCCCUCAAGUUCAAACCGACGGAUGAUACUAAGACAAUCGAUUUCAUGCCUGGCGAUUCAUCCAAGCAGUUCACCAUUGGGACGGGUCUGGACCCCAAAUAGGAAAGCGCUCAUCGAAUUCAUCUGUGAGAAUCGGGACAUCUUUGCAUGGAAGCCCUCUGACAUGUCGGGUGUACCGAGAGAAUUCGCUGAGCACCAUCUUAAUGUUGACCCAAAAUGCAAACCUGCCCAACAGUACCUUCGCAGAUUUAACGAGGAGCGAUGCAAGGCGAUUGGAGAAGAAGUCGCCCGUCUUUUAGCCGCCGGGUUCAUCGUGGAAGUUUUUCACCCCAAAUGGCUGGCUAACCCGGUGUUAGUACUCAAGAAGAAUGGCACUUUCUGUAUGUGUAUUGACUAUACGGAUCUCAACAGAGCUUGUCCCAAAGAUCCUUUCGCUCUUCCCCGCAUCGAUCAAAUCAUUGACUCGGUGGCGGGAUGCGAACGAUUGUGCUUUUUGGACGCCUAUUCAGGUUAUCAUCAGAUCAAGAUGGCCGUGGAAGAUCAGGAGAAGACGGCCUUCAUAACCCCCUUCGGGGCCUUUUGCUAUGUGGCCAUGCUGUUCGGACUCAAGAGCGCAGGGGCGACUUAUCAACGCUGCAUCCAGAAUUGUCUUCAUAACCAAAUUGGCCGCAACGUCCAUGCUUACGUCGACGACAUUGUGAUAAAGACCCGCCAGGGGGAGACACUUUUGGAAGACCUUAAGGAAACCUUUGAUAAUUUACGAGUAUAUCAGAUGAAGCUAAAUCCUACCAAGUGCGUUUUUGGUGUACCUGCAGGAAAAUUACUGGGUUUCUUGGUAUCGGAGUGCGGCAUCGAGGCUAACCCGGACAAAAUUGAAGCGGUUACCUCUCUCGGGAAGCCGACGAAUGUUAAUCAAGUUCAGCGACUGGCGGGCCGCAUUGCGGCUCUAAGUCGUUUCGUGAGCCGCCUUGGGGAAAAGGUGAUUCCUCUUUAUCAAUUGUUGAGGAAAUCCGACCGAUUCGUAUGGACAGAUGAGGCAGACGAGGCGCUUUAGGCCUUGAAACAUCAAUUGGUUAACCCGCCGGUCCUGGCAGCCCCAACUGAAAAGGAGCCUAUGCUCCUCUAUAUCGCGGCAAAUUCCAAGGCAGUCAGCGUGGCUGUGGUCGUCGAAAGAAAGGAGGAAGGAAAGGAAUACCCGAUGCAACGUCCGGUAUAUUUUAUCAGUGAGGUGUUAACUCUUUCCAAACAGUGAUACCCCCAUUGGCAAAAACUGGUCUAUGGGGUGUUUAUGGCGAGUCGAAAGCUUAAACAUUAUUUCCAGGAGCACCCGAUUACUGUGGUCAGUUCCGCCCCCUCGGUGACGUCAUCCAAAAUCGGGAGGCAACAGGGCGAAUCGCCAAAUGGGCAAUAGAGCUUGGGUCUCAUCACAUACAAUAUACCCCCCGCACAGCCAUAAAAUCCCAGGCACUAGUUGAUUUCGUUAACGAUUGGACGGAACUUCAGGCUCCGGAAGAUCGGCCUGACCUUACCUAUUGGACUAUUUACUUUGAUGGAUCCAGGCAGUUGGAGGGCUCGGGGGCUGGUGUGGUGCUGAUAUCCCCUCAAGGAGAUAAGUUCUGUUAUGUUCUCCGACUCAUGUUUCCCUGCACGAAUAAUGCGGCGGAAUAUGAAGCUCUGCUUCACUGUUUGCGACUGGCAAAAGAGAUGAACUUAACCCGAGUCAGAUGUUUUGGUGAUUCAGAUUUGGUGGCGCAACAGGUUUCGGGUACCUGGGACUCUCGGGAUCCUAUGAUGGCGGCUUACAGACGAGCUGUGUCUGAUGUGGCAGGCUAUUUUCAUGGAUAUCAGGUGGAUCAUGUUGAUCGGCGACUCAACGAAGCAGCUGAUGCUCCCUCGCGACUCGGCUCACAAAGAAAACAGGUCCCCCCUAAUGUUUUUUUGGAUAUCUUGCAUAAACCGUCUGUGGCUUUACCCACGGAGGAGGAGUUGGCGAUACCAGAUCCCGAGUCUCAGCUCGUGGCGACUCUCCAUGUCACUCCGGACUGGGUUCUUCCUUAUCUGGCUUAUCUCACUCGCGUCGAAUUACCCACCGACGAAGUUUUGGCUCGCCAGAUCGUUCGACGUAGCAAAUCCAUGGUCAUCAUUAAUGGCGAGUUAUAUAAACGGAGUGCUUCUAGGGUCUUUCAGCGGUGUGUUUCCUCCGAGGAAGGAUGCGUGAUCCUAAAUGACAUUCAUUCUGGAGACUGCAGGCAUCACGCCGGGUCACGUUCUUUGGUAUCAAAGGCUUUUCGACAUGGCUUCUUUUGGCUGACGGCUCAUGCAGAUGCGGAAGACAUAGUACGGCGAUGCGAGGGGUGCCAACGAUAUGGGAGACAGGCUCAUGAGCCGGCUCAAGAAUUGAGGAUGAUUCCCAUUACUUGGCCCUUCGCGGUCUGGGGGCUGGACAUGGUCGGUCCCUUUAAAAUGUCCUCUAACAAGAAAACUCACUUAUUGGUGGCAGUUGAUAAGUUCACUAAAUGGGUUGAGGCGGAACCUGUUGGAGCUUGCGAUGCAGAGACAGCGGUAAAAUUUCUGAAAAAGCUGAUUUUCCGUUUUGGAUACCCGCACAGUAUUAUCACGGACAAUGGUACUAACUUGUCCCAAGGAGCGAUGCUGGAUUUUUGUCGUCGAGAACAUAUCCGGCUUGAUGUUUCUGCAGUUGCUCACCCGCAGUCCAACGGGCAAGCAGAGCGGGCGAAUCAGGAAGUCUUGCGAGGGAUUAAACCUCGGCUCAUGGUUCCCCUGGAAAGGAUCCAGGGUGUUGGGUUGAAGAGUUACCUUCGGUACUGUGGAGUAUUCGGACCACCCCGAAUCGAUCCACGGGGUUCACUCCCUUCUUUUUGGUCUAUGGAGUAGAGGUUGUCCUCCCUACUGACAUAAGACAUGAUUCUCUUAGAGUCGCUGCAUAUGUGGAGCAAGAUAAUGAGCUGGCGCGUCAGGAUUCCUUGGAUGCCUUGGAAGAGGCGUGUGACCUGGCUGCGGCUCGUUCGGCUAUCUACCAGCAAGAUCUGCGGCGUUAUCAUAGUCGCCGGGUUAAGAGUCGGACUUUUCAGGAGGGCGACUUAGUACUUCGUCUGAUACAAGAUCGGGCAGGCAUGCACAAGCUAUCACCCCCUUGGGAAGGGCCGUUCGUCGUCAGCAAGAACCUCCGCAAUGGCUCUUAUUAUUUGAUGGAUCUUCGGCCUAAUCGACCGACUACAGAGGCUGAGUCACCUCGCCCCUGGAAUAUUGCUCAUUUGCGGCCUUACUACACUUGAGCUCUUAAAAGCUCCACGUUUUGUUAGUUUUUCAGUUUCAUUAUGAAGUAAUAAAACACUCUCCGACUUGGGGGCUUCUUCAUUAAAAAGUGCAAAUUGUGUCAUCCUGUUGCGACCUUAUGAGCCGACAGAACAUGCAUUUAGGGUGGGUGCACGAGCUUUCUGACUCGCCUCCCCCUGUCGCGACCGUAUGAGCCGACGAAACCUGCAUUUAGGGUGGGUGCACGAGCUUUCUGACUCGCCUCCCCCUGUCGCGACCGUAUGAGCCGACGAAACCUGCAUUUAGGGUGGGUGCACGAGCUUUCUGACUCGCCUCCCCCUGUCGCGACCGUAUGAGCCGACGAAGUUACUUUUAUUAUGAUUUAAUCUUGAAGGUUUUAAACCAUUUUUUCCUUUCUACAUACUUGUUGAAACUAUCCAUAGUUCAUUUGUUUUCACAGAUGAUGUUUUCAAAGUUUAAGACAGGGGGGUGGUAAGAUUUGUUUCAUCCUUGGUGGAUUAAGCAUUAUAGAAGACUCUUAUAAAGGCGGGCCAAAUAUUUCAAAUCGCCUUAAAAAGCGAUAUAAGGGUUUUUUCUCGCAGAAGAUAUCAUCAAAAAACAGUACUGACUAUUACAUGGCUCACAGGCCAAAUUCAGGAAAGUCUACUUCGCUAAAUCCUGGCGUGAGCUCUGGCCAACUUCGAUUUGUAAAUCGCCCAAUACCCAAUUGCACCUGGCCAAAGCAGCAAAGUCGUCUUCGUCGGUCAAAAUUGAUGCCAAGUCUGCUUCCCAGUCGAAAGGAUUCUUGGGUCGCCGAGGAAUUAGGUUGGUCACCACGAAGGUUGGUGGGCUGACUUUCUUAUUCCUACUAUCAUAAGCCGCCUGGUACUUCGUUAAAUCAAGGCUUGCGGCGAGUCGAGUUGCAGCCAGCCGAGAAUCCUUGACAACUUUUUGGUAACCCUCUUCAACAAAUUCCAAUCCAUCGUCCUUAAGCUGAGGGAAGCCAGCAGCUACUUCUUCUAAAUUGAUCUCUGGGGCAUACGCUAAGCAGCGACUCAGGGCAGUCAGGACACCUUUCCGGGCGGCUGACCGGGUUAACUCGCCAAUCUGGGGAGGAAGUGUGGACAAACAUCCAAGUACCUUCUUGAUGGAAGUAAUAGGCUCUUUGGCACUCAUCACAGCUUUGACGGUCAACACACUGCCUGUGUACAGCUGCUCUGUCAGCGUAUAAAUCGCCUUCAGCAUCAACACACAGUCUUCUUGCAGGUUGGCGACUCUUGGACCUGAAAUAUGAUGAUUAGUGACUUAACAUCAGAAAUUUGAGUAAAAAAAGGGGGGGAUAAGGUUGAAGAUUUGGGUAAGGCUUACCAAAGAUGGCUUGCGUCAUGUUAGAGAUAUGACGUUUUAAGCCGGAUAACUCCUGUUGAACAGUCACCAGCUUCGCUUCAGCUUUCUCUGCUCUCUUCAAAGCAGCGUUUUGGUCAGCUUGAGUUUUUUCUAACUCGGCUUUGAGUUUUUCCAGUUCGGCCAGAGCCAAUUUACACUUCUCUUCCGACUGAGUUCGGGCGUCUUGUUGUUCAGCUAAGUUUUUCCUUAAAUCGCCCAGCGCCAAUUCGGUCUGAGCAAGGUUUUCCUAUUGCAAGUUUAAAAUAAGGACAAGUCUCAGAAUUACUGCAAAGCAAUAUCCCUGACACUUGGGGGCUAAUGUAUAAUUUUUUCAGGAGAAAUUAUACAGAAAUCAAGACUGGUCGCGAAGUUUUUUCUAAAAAUUUCAAGACCCGGCUCAUCUUUUUACUGAUGACCCGGCCCUUGGAGGUUACUGGUCGCGAAGCUUUUUCUAAAUUUUCAAGACCCGGCUCAUCUUUUUACUGAUGACCCGGCCCUUGGGGGUUACUGGGAAUAAUAUAAGUAUAACAAAAUUUACCUCAUGUUUGUUGUUUAACAUCUUCAGCAGGUUUUUCUCCAUCUCAUAGCUCGCCUCCAGGCGACUUGCAAAGCCAGAACAGAGUUCCUCAAACUCCAGAUUUGCAUAGUCGGAAAGUUUCGCCUUGGAGAGCCCAGACUCGGGAAUGGCCUGAGAGGAGGAUGCUACAUGUUUGGACAAAACUGUCGCUGCCGGCUUAGAAAAGCCAGAGCCAGUAAUAACUACAGCAUCUGGGUCUUCUGUUGUCAUCAAUGGGUUCGGCGAUCUAGAGGCAUCCAUUGUUUCCUUCGGCGACUCAGGAAGAUCCACUUGAAUCGCAGGCUCAGCAUGAUCCGGAUCGUCUUGAGUCGGAGUUGAUUUAUUUGGGGGUUCUGAAGUUGCAUCAGGAAUUGAUCCACUGGUUUUCCUUUUCUUGGCUUGUGCCCUAACAAAAGGGAAUAAGCACGUUAAGGAAUUGAAAAGAUCGUUAUUCUCAAAAGUCUAGGCAAGGUUAUCAAAAGACUUACCCCGGAACUCGAAUCAUUGGUGGAAGUGUUGACAUCACUGAGUCUCCGGAAGUGGGAGGAGAGUUCUGCAAAAGUUAUAUAUCAAUAAUACAGGCGGGUUACAAAUGUGAUCCAAAGAAGCACGAAUAAUGGUUACUCAUAAAAGUACCUCGCUUGGCUUUCUUUUGUUCGUUGCUGGUAAGCCAGAUACCAGAUCGCCAGAGUGACUUCGUGUUUUCCGGUUUGAGGCGUGUUGUGCUUUCUUCAGUAGGAAAUUUGGGUCCAAAUAAGCAUUUGGAUGUGAGAAGGGGACUUUCCCACAUAUUCGCCGGGCCGGCUUAGGUGGAGAAGGAGAUGAAUCGGAGGAAACAGAAAUUACCUCAACAGAGUCUUCUUGGCUUUCGUUAUCUUCAUUCUAUUACAAGGAGAGAGAAAGAUAUAAAUAAAAGGUCAAAAGUGAUAGGUGGCGAGUGAAAAGAGGACGGAUUUGUACCUCUGAAAGUGCAUCGCCGACUUGAGAUUCGUCGACUUCGGAUGGCUCAGCCGCAGCAUAUUUUCCUUUGCCCUUUGCUUUCUUAGAGGGCGGCUUAGCAGUUUUCAUGGCUUGCUUUUUAGGUUUCCUGGACCAGAACUUAUCGCCUUUCUGAAAAGAUAUAUAUUAUGAAACCAUGACGGCAAUGAAACAGAAGGGAUAAAUACCGAGGGCGGGUCAGUUUUGGUUACCUUGGGCGCCGGGUUAAUCUUGCAAAAGGGCUUAAGGCCGAUUUGGCCGCACUUUCCCGCAGGCUCGUCGGUCAACUUUUUGAUGAUGGCAACAAUGUCCUUUUCUGUUAAUGUUGUGUGAAAGUAGCAUUGAGGAUGAUCCAGAGUGCCAUCAAACUCACACAUCAGACCAUCUCGGCGGCUUAGAGGAAGAAUCUGCCAUUCGACCCAGCAGCGGAUCAGCUCAACCCCGGUAACACCAUUGUUCGUCAGGGAUCUCAGCUCAGAUAAUAUUGGGAUGAACUCCGACUCUUCUUCCUCGGUGAGCUUGUCUGGGAGCUUGAAGUUGACCGGAAGGCGGGUUGGCCUGUAACCCAGAAGCUUAUUCUCACCAGCAGGAGACGUCUCUUGACAAUAAAACCAAGAUUCGCCCCAGCCCUUGGGAUGGCUAGGCAUGAUGAGUGAAGGGAACUGACUAUCCCUACGGCGCUGGACGUUGACGCCGCCGAGUUCCAAACUGGGGCCAUUGUGGAAUUCCGUCUGGCGAUUCAGAUGAAAAAAUGCCAGAAUAGAGGGACAGAAGGCUCGAUCCGCAGAUAAGCUUCACAAAGAACUUGGAACUGGCUCAAAUUGCUUAUGGAAUUGGGUCCCAGAUCCUGGAGUCGGACGUUCAUGAAGGUCAAAGCGUCCCUAAGAAAUUUCGAUCCGGGCGGCUUAAAACCCCGUUCCAAAUGUUCAACAAAAACUACUAUUUCCCCUUCUUUGGGGUUAGGGAGAUCUUCUCCCAACCAAGUGCGCCAUCCAAUGACAUCUUGAGGAUCCAAACAGCCCGCUUUCACAUAAUUAGCUAAGACAGCGUCAUCAACCUUGGUAGGAAGCCAGUCACUCUUGAAGACGGCGCCCAUGCUACAAGUAGGUAAAAGUAUGAUAUUACAUGUCUUGGACACCUACUAUAUGGGAUGGAAUCGGUUCAUUUAACCCGCUAGACCAAGAGGCCGGGUUGGGUUGCUAUGGCGACUUAUGGAAGUAGGGUUAUUCCCAAAGGCUACGUUUCUGCGGGUGGUAAAAUCUAUUCAUUCCGAAGCACUAAGGGGGGAUGAAGGCUACAAACGGCUUUUCGCAAACAGUAAAUGAGGAAUGGAUCUACCAAACAGAUGUGGAAACCUACGAAUAUAACUCGGCACGGACAAUUUAUUAUCAAGUGACGCCCCUCGUUUGGUGAAGACAUUGUGUUCAAAGAUUCGCGAGUACAGCGGAUAAUUAAAAUUAUUCAGGGCACUGGCUACCCUAUCGGUGCUCGUGCUAAUCGAUUCGAGGAAGAUGAGCAACUAUGAGCGAAAAGCUUCAAAGGUACGGCAAUGGCGAAAGCUCAAGCAAGGAAUGAACCUACUCCUAAGAAGGUGAAUGAAGGCCUAACCUGAUGCUCUCGAUCGAAGAAGGCCGACGGUGACGGAGAUCGUUGAAGAAGCGCGGGGGUCCCGACGAACGAAGAAAUCUUCGGCGGCGGCAGAGUUCGAGGCGAGCAACGAGGUGGUCGAUGAUGAUGCGAUGGUCAAUGGCGGCGUACGGAUCGUCCGAGGUGCGAGGCUUGACGACGGCAACGGCUUAUGGGCGGCGCUGAAGCUUCUCGGAUGAGGGCGGAAGGUGCGGCCGGCGGCGGAGCCCUCGGGAAGCGAUGAGGCCUUUUGCUGUGAUAAUGGGGGGGGACUGACGAGACUGGUAGGUGGGAAGCGCCAGCCCAGUCCCCUCCGUCUAUUUAUCAGGACGGGCGCUGGAAUCGAGGCGCCGUGAGCGGGAACCGCUGGGGAAUAAAAAGAUUCGCCAUGAUGACGUCCGAAGAUUUUGGGAUAACGAUGCACUAAAGAUCCGUUGGGAUUAUGUUAGUUUUCCCGAGAAUCGAGGGAUAAGAAGAUGCCAACAGGAAAUGGUUUGGCGACUCAAAGGUUUUUUCGGUGCCUGAUGGCGAGUUACAAUUUCUGACGUAUGGAGAAAGACGAAUGAGUGAAUCACCUUCAACUGAGCGGAAGCAUUGGCGUGAAAGUUCAAGUCAAUCUGGGCCUAAUGUUGGGGAUAUUACUUAUUAACUGACCCGCCCAAGAUGGGCCGGGUUACCAGUAAGGCGAUUCAUCCUCUAGGUUACUCGGGCUUCAGCCUGGCCGGUUCAAGGCCGCGGGACAGUUAUGAUUUCUGGAAGGUCUCCGGGUUUUGAAGGACGGCGACUUAGAGACCACAAUGGUCACGAAUUGUAAGAAGGAAGGGACUCUUGUAAACCCUAAGGCCUUGACCUAUAUAUAAAAGGCGAGUCCUAAGGAGGAGAGGGAGGUAGAAAAUCAUCGAGUGCUAGGUUAGGCGAGUUACGCCUCCCUUGUAAUCGAAUCCACAUCAAUACACACAAAGCAGGACGUAGGCUAUUACCUCCUCUCGAGGGGCCGAACCUGGGUAAAUCGCCGUGUUCCUCCCGUUUAACCCCUUUGAGUCGCCUUUAUAUAUAGGUCAAGGCCUUAGUGUUUACAAGAGUCCCUUCCUUCUUACAAUUCGUGACCAUUGUGGUCUCUAAGUCGCCGUCCUUCAAAACCCGGAGACCUUCCAGAAAUCAUAACCGUCUCGCGGCCUUGAACCGGCCAGGCUGAAGCCCGAGUAACCUAGAGGAUGAAUCGCCUUACUGGUAACCCGGCCCAUCUUGGGCGGGUCAGUUAAUAAGUAAUAUCCCCAACAGAGUGGCCAAGCGAUGUGUUCUUAUGCGCCAGUGGAAUUUAUGAGGACUUUUAUCACUUGGUGGAAAACGCAGGCCUUACCGCCUUUGUUGAAGAUAAGUGUCUGCAAUACCUCCUACUCACUAAUAUCUUCAUACAAAGCUUUAACUUCUAUCCGAGGAAGAAUCCUCCUAUGGUUGAGUUCAAACUUUAUGAUAUCCCCCAGCGCAUGUCACUCCAAGAUUUUUGCAAUGUUUGCAAAUUACCUUACGUGUGGAUAUUCAUGAACCUCGUCCACGGGACUUGGAAGCUUCCAUCGGUACAAUUGUUGUAGGAGAGGAGAGAGGAGUGUCUUGCACCAGAGCUGCUAGCAUUCAUUUUCCCGUGCUUCGGUACUUCUCACUUUUUGUGGGAAAAUGUUUGAUUGACCUUGGGAAAGCUGGGUCACUUAGUUCCCCAGAUCUUGCGGUCUUGCGCGAAGCCCUUUAUAAUGAUAAAACUUAUAGCUUGGGCGCUAUAGUAGCUCAACGGUUGAAUCUGAAAUGUUCUAAAGGUGUUGUCUAUGGAGGUAUCUAUGCCACCCGUCUUGCCAGACACUUUGAGAUACCCAUUAGACUGGAGGAAGAAGAAGAGGUUCUUCUUCCGGAGAGAUAUCUAGAUUACGAUAGCAUGGUUCGCCAUGACUUUCUUGAUAGAGAUAUAAGUAGAAGGAUGAUUUAUAACCUGGUAUUUAGUCAGGGUACUCGUGAGACUAUUACUUUGCGUGCUCCUUCUUUGUUCAAUCUUCAUGCAGGCAGGUACAUUAUUAUGCCCUCGGACAUCUACGCAUAUUGGGGCCUAGCCCAACCACAGGUGCCCGUGCCCGAGCCACCAGUCGAGUACUAGACGCCGGUUUAUCAGUGGGAGCCGGAGGAGCUCACACAGCAGUGGCAUCCUCAGUCCACUCCGGAGUACCCCGGAGCUGGUUAUUUCCCUCCUUGGGAGUUGACCAAGUUAGGCCAAAAGCCUAAUCUUAGGGGAGUACGUGUUCUCACCGACUUUACAUUCUUGCUUAUGCUUUCACUUUGUUAGCCGGUGUUCACACUUUUCCAUUGUAUCAUCCAUGCUAGUUUAUUUUCUUUUUCUCGUUUUCUUUUCGUGUGUUUGUCUAGUUUGAGAAAAAAAAGAUUUUCUUUUUCUUCUUUUGCUUGUUGGGAGCUUUCCCGUGUAGAUAGUUUUUCUUUUUCUUUGGGUCAAGGUAGAAGAUAUUGGUUACAAUGUUUAGUGGCUCUUGCAUUCAUACCUGUUUAGCUUUCAAAGAGCCAUAUUACUUUGUCUUCUCCUUUGUGUUUGCCUGCAGAUUCCAGCAUAGUCCAAUGCACGAGCACACUUAUUAUUGUUCACAUCAUUCGGUCGUGCAAGUGAAAGGCAAUAAUGACGAUAUAUGAUGAAGUGACUGAGCCUGGAAAAGCUGGUAUGAACUCGAUCUAUUUUGUUUUUGUAAAUAUGACUAGCUCAUUGUGCCUGAUUCAGCUUUGUUGUGAGAGAAACGUGUUUGCAAUGACAACUUAGAGAUCAUAGUUGCUUAUGUCAUGCUUAUUUAGCUAGGAGCUUAUAAUGGUUUGUCUUGGUUGCCAACAUGAAUGUUGAGAUGACUAUGAUGUGGUAUCAUAGGAUGGUAUCCUCCUUUGAAUGUUUCAAGUGGCUUGACUUGGCGCAUGUUCACGCAUGUAGUUGAAACAAAAUCAACAUAGCCUCUAUGAUGUUCAUGUUCAUGGUGAUUUAUGUCCUACUCAUGCUUCCACUCUAUAUUAGUUAAUCUCAAUGCAUUUUGAUGACUGUUGUCGCUCUCUAGUUGUUCCAUAUGAGUCCACCAUACCUACCUAGGUGCGGUAUCUACCUGUCGUUCGAAGUAAAUUUGCAUGUGCCACUCUCUAAACCUUCAAGAAAUAACCUGUUUUGCAUGCCCGAACCGCUCAUGUGGUGACAGGGGGCUAUCAAUAUCUUCCAUGCUAGACGUGUUAUCCUCGAUAUGUGUUUAUUCACUAUCAUUCACGAGAAAGGGGCCGGUAAUUGGAAUUCCUAGUUCCAUGCUCAAAUCGAAAAGAUAAUUGCAAACAAAACUCCCCCAGGAUUGAUGUUGGUAUGGACGAUACCCGAGGAUUCGGCUAGCCGUGGAGUGUGAUUGAUUGGUGGUGGGGGAGUCAAAACUUUACUUUUCUGUUUGGGAACCGCCUAUAGCAUGUGUAGCGUGGAAGAUAUUAAGAACUCUUCGUCAUUGCGUUGACAAUGAAAGCAUGCCACCCAAAAUUAUUAUCUCUGUUUUCAAAGCUUGAGCUCUGGCACCUGUGCAAAUCAAUGCUUCCCUCUGUGAAGGGCCUACCUAUUUAUGUUCCUGUCGAGUCAUCCUCCUCUUAUAAAAGCACCAAUUAGAGAGCACCUCUGUCAUUUUUAUGCUUUGCUUUUAACUAUGUUGAGUGUGACUAUGACUGGAUCUUCAUUGCCUUGAAUUACAAUGUUUAGUCAGCCCUUGGUCUUUUAAGGUGCUUUGCAUUUAUGUUUUGCGGUCUCAGAAAGAGCUAGCGAGAUGCCAUCUAUUCGUACUGCUUCAUGUUGUUUUGAUUGAAGUGUUGACAUUUGAGGCUUGUUAUUAUUUGCUCGCUAGUUGAUUAUGCCAUUGAUCUGAGUUUACCGUGAGACCUAGAUGUCAUUCAUCGCGUUUUGCGAUACAGAGGUGCCACCACAUCCUGUUCUUCAUCUGGAGGGUAGAUCUGGAGUCUGUUUCGGGCUCCGGAGAGGGGAAAUCGUCGCCAUCGUCAUCAUCAACCUUUCUCCAUCGAUAAUUCCAUAAUGCUCUUCAUCGUUCGUGAGUAAUCUCAUCGUAGGCUUGCUGGACGGUGAUGAGUUGGAUGAGAUCUAUCAUGUAAUCGAGUUAGUUCUUGACGGGGAUUGAUCCCUAGUAUCCACUAUGUUCUAGAUUGAUGCUGCUACUACUUGGCUAUGCUUAAUGCUUGUCACUAGGGCCCGAGUGCCAUGAUUUCAGAUCUGAACCUAUUAUGCUGUCGUCAAUAUGUGUGUGUUUUAGAUCCUAUCUUGCAAGUUGUAGUCACCUACUAUGUGUUAUGACCCGGCAACCCCGGAGUGACAAUAGCCGAAACCACUCCUGGAGAUAACCAUUGUAUGAGGAGUUCAUGUAUUCACCACGUGUUAAUGCGUUGGUCCGGUUCUUUAUUAAAAGGAGAACCUUAAUAUCCCGUAGUUUCCAUUAGGACCCCGCUGCCACGGGAGGGAUGGACAAUAGAUGUCAUGCAAGUUCUUUUUCCUAAGCAUGUAUGACUACAUACGGAAUACAUGCCUACAUUAGAUUGACGAACGGGAGCUAGUUACUUAUCUCUCCGUGUUAUAGCUGUUACAUGACGAAUCAUAUCCGUCACACUCAUCCAUCACCGAUCCACUGCCUACGAGUCUUUUACUACUGGUCUUCACUAUGUUACUUUGCCUAGGCUUGUCCCUUGCUACAAAAGGGAUUGUGCCACUUUGCUGCUACUGUUGCUAGUGUUGUUACUCUGCUGCUGCUGCUACUGUUGUUCCUUGCUGCUUCGCUGUUACUUGUUGCAGACUUUUCUGGAGCCGUUGCCUGGGAAGAAUAGUUCCCCGUUCACGUGCUCUUUAUUGGCGCCAUUGAUACAACAGUUAGGAAUAGUCUGUCGUGAGCAGAUCGUUUCUGGCACCGUUGCUAUCAUACUACUUUGCUACUGAUACUUUGCUUGCAGACACUAAUCUUUCAGGUGUGCUUGAAUCUGACACAUUCAGCUGCUAAUACUUGAGAAUAUUCUUUCGCUUCCCGUCUUGGCGAAUCAACAAAUUUGGGUUGAAUACUCUACCCUCGAAAACGGUUUCGAUCCCAUACGCUUGUGGGUCAUCAAUCCCACAGUCGAGGUGGCGCACCACCUCGGAAGCAGUCCAGCAUAUAGUUCGGAUGUGAAUGGCUAGCUCCAUAAACGACUAUUCCAGCAUUUAAUCUCGGAUGAAUUCCUUUAGAUUUUCACAUACCGAGGUAAUUUAUGACACCUCGGAUGCCGACCAGCGUUGGAGCUCGACUACAAAAUGACACCUCAAAUGCAGUCCGACAUUGGAGCUCGGACGCAAGAGGACACCUCGGAUGCAUUUAGGCGUUGGAGCUCGAACGCAAGAGGAUAUCGCCGCACGAGAAACAUUUCAGACCCAAGAUGUGGCGUAAAAAAUUACAAGGCAUUAAUAAAGGCCGAUAACUCAAAGGGGCUCCUCGGAUACCCGAUGUGCGAACUCUUCGGAUUCACCCCGACGAUCCUCAAGAUUAGUUAUGGGAAGAUUUGUUGAACCGGUUUUCAAGACCGACGACCGAAGAUGAAGAACAGUUUGGAAGAAAUAAGGAGCAUCCCCAACUUGAAGACCUAUGCUCGGAAAUCGAGAAGUCAUUGGCGGCCGAACUGGUGUUGACCGAACAUAAAUGGGGAGAAGAACUCGCCCCACAAGCCGAAGACUUUAGGUGCGUGACGCUAAGGAUCAAGACUACGACAUUGGCAGCUAGUACAGGGGCUACUGAUGAAGUCUAGGACUAAGGGGUCAUCUGGCCACCGGCCUACCUCUACGGGCCGGACUCCUGGUCUACUUCGGGCAGCCGAUGACAUAUACAAGGAAGAUUCUACAAGACUUGGUGAUCAAGACAAGGACUCCUCUACACCGACGUAGCCGACUAAGACUCUUGUUAUCCUAAGCUUAUGGUGCAUUGUAUAAACCAAGGCCAGGCUAGUCGAUAGACAAACUCAUAUUCAUACGAUCAUUACUCUUAGGUUUUAGACCACAACAUCUGAUCUUGUAGUAGAUCAACUAUGUACUCUGUACUAUCCCUUCAAUAACAACAAGAGCAGGACGUAGGGUUUUACCACUAUCAAGAGGACCCGAACAUGGGUAAAACAACGUCUUCUUCGUCUCUUGUUACCCAUCGACCCUAGAUCCAUAGUUCGGACCCCCUACUCGAGAUCAGCCUGUUUUGACACCGACAAUGGAUAUUGUGGAGCAUAAAAAAGAACCUACUAAUAAGAGCCCGAUGAUGAUGUCGUUGGAAGAGACCAAAAACUCAGCAAAUACUAUACAACCUACAGAUGCACAGAUAGAUAUAUCCAAUUCAUGUCAUACCAAACCAAGAAGAGCAAAUACAAAUAUUACACCACAAGGUACUUCUUCACAGUGAUUAUCAAGCUUUUCAUUUCAUUGGUCUUUUUAUGUGUAACUAAUUUGGCUUCAUGUUGUCCCAUGAAAAACUAUAUUUGCACCCCGUAUGAUAUUUCAAUUAAAUCAAUCAUGCCCUUACAUUCAAAUACUAAGUUGGUGCACAUCAAUGAUGCAUUAUUAUAAAACACUUAGAUGAGAUGUCAUACGAAUGAUGAUGUGUUUUUGCACGAUGAUGUAACUCAAACCACACAAACUCUCGUAAUUAAGCAUUAGUGUCUCAAAAUUAGAAGGUAUUCUAUCCUUUUAAAUUAUAGGUAAUAAAUGCAUACAUAUAUUGCAUUAGUGCCCAGGAGCAUCUGCAAGAUAGAGCGGAUGGAAAGGUACAUAUUGCAAGCAUGUUUGUGUCUUCCCUCCUAAAAAAAGAUGAGAUAGACCCGACAACACAUCACCACAUUGUAAAACGAUUAAAUACUUUUAUGGAGCAUGACAUAAUCAGUCUUAACUCACUAUACUUACAUAUAACAAUUAAGCACUUUUUUACGUGAAAGUGGUUAUGUGUUAUGUAAUAUUUAUUACUUCAGGUAUUCCUUCCAAUUAACAUCAGAAAAUGCCACCAGUAUUUAUCAGUCAUCAAUGCAAAGAUACGAGAGAUACAUGUAUUGGACUCGCUUGGAAUUGGCAUGAGCCAAAGUGACCUCACUAUGACGGUAAAUGCUACUUCUUGUGUUUCUUUCUCUAGACAAUACAUUCUCUUUUGCCUAAUACCUGGUGAAUUUUUUCCAUUUAAUAGUUACAAGGACUUGACAAGCAUCUAAAAAUCGCAUGCGAUAUGCCGGAGUUUAGGAGAGGUGAUAGGUGCCAGGACCUCGAUAUUAUGAAUUGGAAAGUCGUAGAAUAGUUCCAAAAGCCACUCCAAACAUAUGGGUAUGUUGAACACAUCUCAUGCUCCGAACUGAAUUAUAGAGAAAUCUAUGAUAGAAUAGUAAGUCUUGUGAAUAAUAUAUUUUGUACACAAAUAUGGUCUUAUUUUUUAGCUAAAACUUUGAGGUAAUAGAUACGUUUGACCAUGCAUGGAGACAUGUACAAUGAACAUUAUUACUUGUUUAAAUACUUUAUUUAUAUUGAGAUGAAAGCCUAAAGAGAUAUUUCAAUAUUGCAUCACGUCAUGUAGAUUGUUUAUGUCAAAUUUUAUGGAGUAUUGGACAGGAGAUCUUUUGUCCGAUCAAUUCACUCAGGUGUCUCUUUCUUCUUAAUAUCGGAUUUCAUCUCAAAUGGUGAUUUUUUAACAAAUUCUUUUUAAUUACUAUAUGCAAGAGAACAUGAAAGAAUUUUCAUGAAAAUUAGUUGUCAUAAUGUUGGAGACAUGACUUAAUAAGUUAAAAGGAAGUCCAAUGUACUACUAGCCUCACAAUGAAGAAAAAGUACGAUCUUAAGUUCCUGAAGGAUCGCAAGAGUAAGCGGCAAGAUUCACCUCAUGGAGCCGAAGACAAAAGCCCCCUUCCGACCCCCAUCAUGGGCACAGACGCGCAUGAUUUAGUUGACAAAAUAUGCAACCACAUCAUGUCAAUUAAUGAUGCUGAUUCAUUGGAGUAAGCAACAUGUGUAAGAAGUAUAAAGUUUCAAUAUACAGUAUUACAAUGUUACAAUUAUUAACUGUUACCUACAAAAAGGAAUGGGUGCGAAGCUCUAAACACCAUCCGAUAGGAUUAAGUCUCAGAAGGAUUCAAGGUAUACUCCACCGGGACCAGCCGUUGGACAUUGAUUGUUUCAACAUGGUAUACGUAUACUUCCACGUGAAAAGCCCUUACUGACAGUAGAUCCUCCGGUGCAAUUUAUGGAUCUACAAUUUUCUGUACACAAUCACACAUUAUAUUAUCAUUGUCACCAUCAUGUUUCUUAACCAUUUUUCAUCGAGAUGGCUUUAACCGAGGCCACCGUUGCUUCCGCGCGAGAUUUAGAUUUGCGGGUACAGCCAGAUAUUCAGACGCUAGCAUCAUUGCUUCGUAGCUGGACUAAGAUAGACCACAAAAUCUUAUCAUGCAAUUGGGUAAGUUUGGUCUAUUUUAUUGGUUGUCGUGAUAAAUGUUUAUUCUUAAUGAGUGUUGCUUGUAGAUAUUGCUUCCUCAUGCAUUCCUUGGCAACUACAUCUUGUUCGCAAUCAACAAACAUGCCCGUCAAGUAUCUAUUUUGGACCAAUUUUUUCCGUCCUUAUCCCCGGAGAGACAUGCAUUAAAUUUUUAGAGGAUUGCAUUCUACCUGAAUGAUGCACUCGAAUUAGCACAACCAGGUUGGAAGUGUGAUAUUUUUUUUUGCCACAUAAAUCAACAAUUGAUGUUCCAACGAGCCUAGAUCGGUAGUUGCUAUGAAAAUCACUAUGCACAUUUUAUAUUUAUUGUCAUUAACUCCCAAAAUAAUGAUAGUGUAUUUCAUCUACACGGAUGAAUCUGGUUAUUUUGUUUUCCAUUUUAUGCUCACAUGGUAAGGUAACAAAUUUGUUCGUCCAAUUUGCAUAGUAAGCAUCCUAUAGCACAUGUUAAUAAAAAGUUUGAAGCAUAAUUGCAUGCUCCUGAGAUACAUUGCUCAUGCAGAAUGGUUAUGAGCUGAGAAAGAAUUUUUUUGAUACACUUGCUCGAGUAUCAUGCGAAUGAAGCUGAAGACAACAUCCCAUAUGAUGUACGACAAAUUCUCAAGUGUCUCAAGUAGGAAGUUAAUAAGAGAUAAUAAAGUGGACUUGAUCUCUACACACCAGUAGUCAAACUGUCUUUUUUUAUCAAAAAAUAUUUAUUCAUCUCCAUGAAUUUGUUUAUUGUAUUUGCCAUAUGUUAUGGCUAUAUAUUUAUAAACAUGAAUUUUGCGAUGCAAUAUGUUUUCGCGCCGGAAAAAUAAUAAUGUCAAUUAUAUGUAAACCCUCGAUCGGUAUCCACCAACCAAAGUUACCAAACACUACCUAUAUAUAUAUUCAUCAAACCCUACCUUCUGUAUAUUGUACGGUUCAGGUCAAGCGAAUGGCCACAAAAUUGACGUGUUCAAUGUGCUGAGUUGAUUUUGCCCUACUUUUUUAGCAUCUUAUUUUGCCUUGCAUGAUGAAAGUCAAUUUGCAUGAGUACACCUUUUUUCUUUUAAUACAAGUAAAUUAAAGUAUGUCCACUCUCAUCGAAAGCCAUGAAGAGAAACCUAGCAUGUACGAAAGCUUGUUUCUCUUACAAAUAAAAAAGUCAAGCAGCCUAGCCAAUAUAAAAACAAAAAAAGAUAAAGCAUGCAUGCACCAGUAGCUGCACCAACAAAAAUCUAAGACGCCCCCAUCUGAUGUUGACGCUAUACACAGUCCAGAAGUAUAGCGUCGGUCCAUGAUCAAAAAUCAUAGCGCAAGUCCCGUUGCUCCAACCAUUGAUCAUAGCAUGUCUUCCUCUAUAAAACGAAGCCUUGUAGCGCGAGUUACUUAGUACACAUCAUAAGCACGAGAGGGCUCCUUCUUUGCUACGAUUUGCUACCGCCGCCCAUGGUUCAAAUGUGGGUUGCCGAAGUACGAUCAUCUUAUUUAAGAAAGAAACACAGAGAUUUAGUUAUACGUGUAGAUCAUAAUUCCAAUUAGUUUGCUAAUUCUUUUAUUAACAUUGUUAAUGCAAAUGAAUUUUUUUGAUCUAAACAAUGGCUCGCUCACAUAUAUUAUUUUUAAUUAAAUUUGCAUUUGCUUUAAACAAUACUUUUAGCUAACGAUCAUUAAGAAAACCGACUUUCAUUUCUUUAGAUGUUUCUGGCAUAGUAAUGUACGUCGGCCCACUUCAUACGAACUGUUAUACCGUAAAUGGCAUAAGAGAAAUAGCAAUUAUCGCUAGCAAUUAUGAUAUAGUUUUAUUCAACUUUUUGGCAAAAACUUAAUUUAUACAAGAAAGAUCUCAAACAAGCAGAGUAUAUCGAUGUUAUUCUCGAUGCCUCCAACAUAAAGAUUGAUGAUGCAUCAAGUAAGUAUAUAACUUUGAUUUAUAAUCCAUUUGAUUCUUCUCGUCACUAUAUUAACUAUCCAAAGAAAUGAAACUUAUAAAUUUACUUGAUGCAUCAUGAAUUUUCAUGUUAAAGACCUCAAGAAUAGCAUUGGUGUACUAUGUUUGUUUGAGAUCUUCCUCAUAUAAAUCAAGUUUCUUACAAAAAGUCAAAAAAAAAACUAUAUCAUAAUUGCUAGCGACUAUUGUUAUUUCUCUCAUGCCAACUACAGCAUAAUAGUCUGUAUGAAAUGGUCCAACGUGCAUUACUAUGCAAAAAAAUCUAAAGAAAUGAAAGUCAGUUUCACAAUGAUUGUUAGCUAAAAGUAUUGUUUAAAGCAAUUGCAAAUUAAAUUAAAAAUAAUACCUAUGAGCGAGUCGUUGUUUAGAUAAAAAAAAUUAAUCUACAUUAACAAUGUUAAUAAAAAAUUAACAAGUUGAUUGGAAUUAUGAUCUAUACAUACAGCUAAAUGUCUGUACUUUUCCUUUAAAUAAGAUGAUCAUACGUACUUCCAGUGUAACCUACCUUUGAACUAUAGGCAACGUCAGCAAAUCAUAGCAAAGAAGGAGCCCUCGUGCUUGUGGUGUGUAAUAAGUAACUCGCGCUAUAAUGCCUCAUUUUAUAGACGAAGACAUGAUAUGAUCAAUGAUUGUAACGACGAGACUUGUGCUAUGCUUUUUGAUUGUGGACUGACGCUACAUUUCUGGACCGUGCAUAACAUCAACAUCAGAUAAAGAUGUCCUAGAUUUUUGUUGAUGUGGCUGAUGAUGCACGCAUGCUUUACCUUUUUUUUGCUUUUGUAUAUUGGCUAGGUUGCUUGUCCUUUCUUUAUUUAAAAGAGAAACAAACCUUCCUGCAUGGUAGGUUUUUCUUCAUUAGAAUGAACCUACUCCAAGUACUUAUAUUAAAAGAAAUAAAAAGUAUAUAUGCAUACGAAACUUCAAAACUAUGUUCAUCGUGUAAGGUAAAAUCAAACGCUAAAAAAAAUAGACAAAAUCAACUCGACACAUUGAAGUACUCGUCAAUUUUUUGGCCAUUCGUCUAACCUUAACCGUACAACGUUUAAAAGGUAGGGUUUGACAAAUAUAUAUAAGUAGGAUUCGAAAAUUUGGUACGGCUCAUGCUACCAUGUGGUAUUAUUAUCUGGACUGUCCUUCCACCUGGAGAUGCACGCAUGCUCGAGCAUUAUGCGACGUAUUGCGCUGCCUUCUCCAAUAUUGCACAGUGCUAGCCUUGUCUAUCGUUUGUCAUUAAUGAGGCCCAGCCAUUUUCGUCCUCGACGGUCUCCCUCGCUAUUCUUUUUCCUGGACCGUCCCUUGGGAGGCUAGUCGUAUCCUGGAAGUCACUUUCUCCCUUAUUUAUUUUGCUUUUUUUAACCUCCCCGUGUACUCCUCUCGUUCCUCCAGUCUCCUUUCCAUUAAAAAAGCUUGAACUAUCUGUCUUUCAAUUUAUCUAAACAACUACACACAUUAUUUCUAAGUGGCUAAUUUGUGUAGGACAUUGGGGUACCGAUUGCCAGUUCCCAAUGUUUCAAACAGGACUACUAGGGAAGCAUGCUGCUGUGAGCUGGAGCUCUGUUCACAAGGCAAGGGCAGUAUUGGAGGAAGAAUUUUUUUUAAAAAAACUGGUACAUAAACACACGGGCUUAUUAUUUACUUGUCCAAAGUUAAUGCGGAAGAUCAGCAUUUUUCUUUGUAUUCUUUAAGAUUCAGGACGUGGAGAUAGCAGUGAUUGUGCCACAACUCUUCAGACUGAAACACCAAUGUCUGUUUUGAUGAGCAGCAGUUUGACCGUGAACAGUACAAGUGUUACUCUGAAGGAAGAUAGUGCAAUGCAAGGUACAUGAUUUUCUCAAGUUGACUAUAAAAUGUUGUCUAGUUUUGUGCCUGUGUUACCAUCUAGUCAAAAUUUGAUCAGCAUGACAAUAUUAGUACUGACACAUCUGGGGUGUUCCUCAGAUCAGAUUAUCUUUUUCAGUCACUCGAAUAGAGAAAAAUCGGGAGGAUGAUGACCAUGUGCCGUUGUUCCAAACUGGGUUAGGGAGGUCAAUUGCUAUAAGUAAGAGCUCACUUAAGAGGGCAUCUGCAGUUCUGGAGCCAAGGAAUAUUGCAAAGGAAUUGGAAGGUAAAUUGCUCUCUAAACACACAUCAUGGUUUCGUAACAGGCGUGCUCUCUUAUAACUAAAUUUGUGAUAAAUAAGUAUUUUGUAUUUACUGACAAUCAAAAUUUCUUUCUGUAGGAUGGAGCUCAUUUAGAUGGUGACGGUGACACUCCAGUGUUCAAAACUGGAUUAGGAAGGUCUAUAUUAGCAAGUGAGAACUCUAGAAAGUAAUUGCCUAUCUUAGAGGCUGAAGAAGCAGAAAAAGUGGUAAUUUUAUGUUCUGAAUUAAGAGAGUACCUUCACAUGGAUAUAAAAAGUAGGUAUUGGCACGAUUGUUCCACUUACCGAGCAUCCACAUACAAUCUCCUGCAUGGUCUUCCUUUUGUCAGGGUUUAGCCGACUUUUCCCCUAUCUGAUCCCAAACCGAGUUCCCAUGAAAACAAAUUGCAAAAAUCAUAUGGUUCAGUCAACGAGUCGAAUGUGGUGCCCAAUUCUGGUUUAAAAACUUUGUUACCGUCUCGUUCUGCAAAACCACGUAUCGACUUUUCCAGGCCACCCAUUCUACCAGGAUAAGGCGUCCGCUCUAUUGGAUUUGCUCCUACGCGAACCCUGCAACCAAAUCAAAACGUGGUUGGAACAACUCAAACCGGCAUGCCAACAGGCACGACGAGAUCUGCUCGUUUAUAGUCAGACCCUUAUUGUGGCCAAAUCACACUGCACUCAACAGACGCACACGCUAACCAGGGGGUUGGAAUACUACCGAGCGACAAGUCUCGUACCUUGAAUUUGAUAUAAGCAGGGGGGUGAAAUACCUUUUGAUCUGGCUUCACUGCCGACUCGCCGGAGUCAGCAGGAGCGCUGUUUCUGCUCCCCUCGCCACCAGGGUCGCCCCAACUAUGGUGAACAGCUACCAACGAAUCUCCCGCUCCGGCGGCUGCCCAGCCGUCGAUCUUGCUCCCCUCAUCGUGAACGGAGCCGCGAGGCGAGGCGCCGGAUUGGAGAUCGGCCAGCUACAAGGAGGGAAAGACAACCGCUUCUGUUUAUCUUCGCGCGAGAUCUUGUCAGUGAACGAGCGAGGGGUGGGGGACGGGGCUAUGUGGCACACUGGAUGUAAAUAGACGGCGG